CUGGGCGUAAAGCGUACGCAGGCGGCUAAUUAAGCCAGAUGUGAAAUACCCCGGGCUUAACCUGGGAAUGGCAUUUGGAACUGGUUAGCUAGAGUUUUGUUAGAGGGUGGUAGAAUUUCAGGUGUAGCAGUGAAAUGCGUAGAGAUCUGAAGGAAUACCAGUGGCGAAGGCGGCCACCUGGACAAGAACUGACGCUCAUGUACGAAAGCGUGGGGAGCAAACAGGAUUAGAUACCCCUGGUAG
rnacentral:rRNA from 1 species